rnacentral:rRNA from 1 species
CAGUAGCCGCGGUAAUACGAAGGGGGCUAGCGUUGCUCGGAAUGACUGGGCGUAAAGGGCGCGUAGGCGGGUGAUACAGUCAGAUGUGAAAUUCCUGGGCUUAACCUAGGGGCUGCAUUUGAUACGUGUUGUCUAGAGUGAGGAAGAGGGUCGUGGAAUUCCCAGUGUAGAGGUGAAAUUCGUAGAUACUGGGAAGAACACCGGUGGCGAAGGCGGCGACCUGGUCCUUGACUGACGCUGAGGCGCGAAAGCGUGGGGAGCAAACAGAAUUAGAUACCCCCGUAGUCCCUGUCUCUUAUAC